UUUUCUCUCGUCGACGGUGACGACGGAGUCUGAUGACGGGUUGUUAUUACCGCCGUCGGAAGAGCUAGAGCUCCGGUAAGUACUGCUUGAUGACGCCAUUGAUUCAAACAAUUACAAAGAAACGAAAAAUUAAAAAAAGGACAGAUUUUUUUUAUGUUUUAUCUUAUAAGGUUUUGUCUGAAAAUUAAUUGAAUAGUUUUUUUUUAAGGGAUUGAUUCAGAUUAGGAGUUUGUAACAAUUCAUGAAACGUUGUAGAACCAGUAGAGGAAGACGACGGAGAAAGAUUGAACGAGAUGGGUUCUACGGCGGAGAGCAGAUUUAACCGUGAGCCCAGAGAGCAAGAUUUCGCAGAGAACGGGAGUCAUCAGUUUCCGAUCAUCAAA
rnacentral:lncRNA from 1 species